rnacentral:misc_RNA from 1 species
GAAAUGCGAUAAGUAGUGUGAAUUGCAGAAUUUAGCGAAUCAUCGAAUCUUUGAACGCACAUUGCGCCCCUUGGUAUUCCGGGGGGCAUGCCUGUCCGAGCGUCAUUACGCACCCUCAAGCCCGGCUUGUGUGAUGGGCCCCGGCGUCUCGUUCGCGAGACGGGCCCGAAAGGCAGCGGCGGCGUCGACCCGAUGAGCCCGAGCGUAUGGGGACUUCUGUCACACGUUCGCGGUGCGGACCGGCGCCUGCUUGACUUUUCUGAUUAUCCAGGUUGACCUCGGAUCAGGUAGGGAUACCCGCUGAACUUAAGC